GAGAAAAUGGGAAGGUUUGUUGAGAGAAUGGGAAGGUUUGUUGAGAGAAUGGGAAGGUUUGUUGAGAGAAUGGGAAGGUUUGUUGAGAGAAUGGGAAGGUUUGUUGAGAGAAUGGGAAGGUUUGUUGAGAGAAUGGGAAGGUUUGUUGAGAGAAUGGGAAGGUUUGUUGAGAGAAUGGGAAGGUUUGUUGAGAGAAUGGGAAGGUUUGUUGAGAGAAUGGGAAGGUUUGUUGAGAGAAUGGGAAGGUUUGUUGAGAGAAUGGGAAGGUUUGUUGAGAGAAUGGGAAGGUUUGUUGGGAGAAUGGGAAGGUUUGUUGAGAGAAUGGGAAGGUUUGUUGGGAGAAUGGGAAGGUUUGUUGAGAAAAUGGGAAGGUUUGUUGAGAAAAUGGGAAGGUUUGUUGAGAGAAUGGGAAGGUUUGUUGAGAGAAUGGGAAGGUUUGCUGAGAAAAUGGGAAGGUUUGUUGAGAAAAUGGGAAGAUUAUAAAAGAAAAUGGGAAGGUUAUAAAAGAAAACGGGAAGGGAUGUUGAGAGAAAACGGGAAGGUCUGUUGAGAAAAUGGGAAGGUUAUAAGAGAAAAUGUAAACAAAUAAAAAAAAAAAAAAACACGA